rnacentral:lncRNA from 1 species
UUUCUACACAUGUGUAAUCUCUAGCUUUUAAGCUAUCAUUGAAUGAAAUAUCCACUUUGUGGGAGAUCUAUGCUUCUAGCAAGAUUGAUUAUAGUGAAAACUUUGUAAGAAUUUGUCAUCACUAUCAUGAGACAAAGCACCAUUGACAUAGUUACUAGAAGAUUUAUGGUGAGAACUAUCAACAUUCACUUCAGGAAACAUACAUACUAGAGGAAGAGUCCAACAAAUAUUAAUAACAUGUUGAUGUUUAGGUUGCAUAUUAGUUUGAAUUAGUUUCCAAAUUACGAAAACUUUUGCUAAAAGGAAAAAAAAAUGGUAUAGAAAAGCAUCGCAGUAGGCUGUGAUUCGCGACAUUCCAACUAUAUUGACAUUUGAAGCCUAACUAUCAUUUGCAACAAUCAUAGGGGACAUGCACCGUACCCUUGAAAGGAAGCAAGAUAAACAUAAAAUUCCUAAACGACGAAAUCAAGCCAGCACAGCUGCAAAAUAUAAAUCUUAUCACAUCUUUUAAAAUAGACGGAAGAAGUAAUAUCAAGUAAUCCGAGUUAUGCAUUAAACUCACCACGAUAGAUAGUGUUUGGGAUCAAACUGUUUGACCACUUGGACAUUCAGAACAUCUUCGCCCUUUCAAGCUUGACACUUGGGACUGUGUUUGGUACCAAACUGUUUGACUACUCGAUCAUUCAGAAUUUCCUUUCUCUUCAGGUUUGAGACUCAACGCCUGUGCUCGAUACCAAACAGUUUGGCCACCCGGGCAUUCAACCAGGCUUGACACUCAGGGGUUGUGUUCUGUAUCAGUAUGACUGAGUAUAAUACUCAAGGCAACUGGAGUACUCGGUCCUUCCUGAUAGAAUCGCUUUGCUAAUCCCGUUGUCCAUAUGGUCCAAAGACACAAGGCCCAUAAAGUUUUAUUAACGCAUAGGCAGUCUCCCAACAUGGUCCAGAGUUUCUUAAUAGUAGGAGGAAUAUGUGACGGGUGCUCUUUUGCCCCCCCCUAUUGCUCUUUAUUUUGCGAAACUACAUUCAGCAGUUAUCUCCCGAAGCCUUUAAAAGAGCAAACAUCGGAAUAUGUUGUCUAAGAUUAUUCUCUCUAUAGCGCUCAGGUCUUUCUCAUUGUAAUUUGUCUUGAUAUUGAGCUUUUUGCCAGUAUCACUCUUGGUUCUUUGCUUUGUCUUUUCAUUUUGAUGUCUGAUGGUUGAGUUUUAUUAUAAUA